GCCACUGCACUCUAUCCUGGGCGACAGAGCGAGACUAAGUCUCAAAAAAAAAAAGUCUCCAGGCUAUAGGCUGGUGGGGGCAGAGGGGUUACUAUUCCAAGCAAUGUCAGAAACCCAAUGGACUCCUAACCAUCCCCUAAUAGAACUUACUGCCUAAACUGGAUGGUAGCCCAUCCCUGUCCAUCAGAGAAAAGGAAAGGAAGGUGAAUAUGCCACUUGACAAUUUUCUUUCACAGUUGGCCUUUCCCAAUAGCCACAUGGGUUUCAAAUAUUAUGCUCAUGUUACAGAUAUGGAAACUGAGGAGCAGAAUGGCCACAUGCUGGCCACAGAGUGGCUAUUCAGUGGCAGAUUUGAAGCCUUUCUUGGGGCCUGGGGCAAGUGCCCUCUAUCUUCCUUUUUGACUGCACAUGCAGCAGGGUUCAGAAGCCCCCAAAUGUGUUGAUAUCUUUGAUUCAUUGCUGUAUCCAGGUGCCAUCCUACGAAGCUACCAACUUUGUGAUGCUCCUCUGACUCCCCUGCCAGCCAGCGUUCUGCUCUCCUAACUCACGCUCCCUCAUCACCUUGACCUUAGGUUUGGAUUGGCCAGUCCCCCAGCGAGAUCAAGAGCUCUCUGAGGACAUAGGCUGAGUCUUGCUCAUCUUGGCAUCCUGUCAAGCUCAGGCUCUCUGCAGCCCAGCUCCUGGGGUCAAUGCGGGAUCAGCACCGGGCAUCUUCCCUCCCGCUGUCUUCCGGCCGGCCUCCGCAACUUCUGCUCUGCAAGAAUCCUGCGCGGUGACUCAGCCCCUGGGCAAUGUUCCUUCCUCCAGUUCCCCACUUUGGGGAAAUGCCUUUCACCCACAGCAAGCACCUCUAGCUUACCCAGGAGGAUCUGCCUUCACGGACCCAAGGCACAGAAGUUUUUGUUGCUUGUUGCAUAAUUUGCCCAGGAUCAUCCAAUGAGCGAAUCCUUCCAGUCCUGAGAGCUCAUGUAGUCUGCUUGGAUACCUGACCUGGCCAUUUCCAUCUGGGCCUCUCCCUUUACAGGAAUGGAAGAUCAAAGCUCAGGGAGGUCCCACAGGCUAAUCACCAGGAACAGGCCCACAUUCCUGGAGGAAUGCAGCCCACUGCAAGCUCUUCAUCCUGUGUUCACGCCAUUCUCCUACCUUAGCCUCCCGAGUAGCUAGGACUACUACACUAGCAGCACCUCCCAAGCCCAUUCAAGGCAGCCCCCCAGGUCGUUUGCAGGCCUCUACUGGGAAUCUUGGUGGCACUGCCUCUCAUCCAGGGACCACAAACAAAGUCCUCCUAGGUGCAACUCAGGGCACUGGAAUGGGCAGCCCCAGAGACCUGUUCUCCCCAACUCCCAGAGGACAGUGGGGAGACAGCUAUACCAAAAAUAGUUCCCCAACUAGGGCACAAGCCUCCAGUGGAUUCACCAAGAGGCAGCAGAGUGUACAGGGGAUGUGGAUGACCUGAACCCUCUGGCCCUUGGCUUUCUUAUCUGUAAAAUAGGCAUCACGAUACCCAUACUUUACAGGGCAGUGGUGAUCAUUAUAAGAAAAAAGGUGUUUCGUUCCCUGCCUGACAUAUAGGAGGUGCUACAAUAACCUCUUUCUUGCCCUUCUCAUCCGUUUCAUCGGUUUCUGAUAUUAAGUCUCCAGAAAGCAGCAAAUGGGUCUAACUUGAGCCCUAAAUCCCCUUGUUCUGGGAUAGCCAUCCUGGGGCCUCAGCUAGGUUUGUGGUGACCUAGGAUUAGGUUCUCUCACUGAGCGCCUUCCUGCCCCAUUCCCUUCCUGUUUCUUUUACCUCUGGGAACCAUCUUGUCUUCCUGGUUCCCAAGAAUUGGUCUAGUACAGAUCCCACCCCAAUCCAAGGAGAAAAGGCCACACUAAAACCAGAUACUCCGCUAGUCCAGAUACCCCCCAAGACUGGCCCAGACCAGGUUUCUCAUUCUAGAGAUGACUGGUCAGGCCGUGGUGACUGACACCUAUGAGUACCGGUGAGUGAUACAGCUCUUCCCACACUGACCUGUCAAUCUCUGGUGCCUCCCACCCCCAGCACCCACAGGGGAAGGGCCUGCAGAGAGUCAACCACCUUGUCCCACAACCAACCAGCAACCAUGUCCCCUCAGCUGGGUCAGAGUAGGCAAUUAUCUGCAACCCCUGUAGACUGUGCUCCAUAGAGAUGGGGAUCACGUCUUUCCUGUUCACCUCUGUGCAUCAGUACCUGGCACACAGCAGGAGAUAAAGGCUGGGAAAUGAGUGAAUUGCAUGAACAAACGUCUGAUUUCUAGCUCCUGACUAUACACUUGCUUGGUUGCUGGGUUCUGGUUUUCUCCACUCUGAAUAAGGCCCAGCCUUUGAUCAAUAUCCUACCACCGUUUAACAGGAAGAUCCCACUACCUGAGCGCAGAGAGAUGGGUAGAAAGCUGGAGGAAGUCACUGACCUGGCCUGCCUGCCACACCCCCAUCUCCCAGCCUCCAUGGGGUCCUCCAACCACCUCUGGGGGGGCCCUUGCAGGGAGGCCUCUAUGGGGAGGUCUAGACGGAGUCAGAUAAUAUAGGAGUCAGUGGGGCAUGGAGGUAGGGGACGGCUGUGAGUAUUCUGCCCCUUUAAAUAUACCCUGGCUGUGGCAGGCCAGGAUACCCCCGCUGAGUCCCAGCUGUCAGCCAUGAGGAGCCACAGCUUCGCUCCCCAGGAAGUGGGCAAUAUUGCAAUAUCAUGGCAUCAGCUCCAGCUCUCCAGCUCUGGCAUGGCCCUUAGAUUGGAUUUGGAUGUCUCCAUCUCUCAAAUCUCACUGUCCUGUCUCUGGGUCAGGGUUCCUGCCUAACCUGGCUAUGAUUCCACCAGCCCCUUACCCUGGAACCACUUCUAGAAUGGAUUUUCUCCUUCAAGGGCCUUGAGGUGGUAGGAUGAUCUCUUGGGGGUGGAGAGACCAGGGUGUGGAGGGCAGGUCAGGCCCCUGAGGUCCAAAUCCUCCUCUCACCUGGCACAUGAGCACCAACAAGAUGUUCUAGCUCCACUGAAUGCAGAGGCCUUUUAAAUCCAAGGAGGCAAGUUUGUGUCUGGUUGUGCAGUGAGGCCUGGGACAUGGAGCCUCACUGGUGCUUGCACUUGGUGCUUGGAAACAGAAGAAUAGGGUUAAAUACUCCCAAGGGAGCCAGCAAGACAGGAACCCUGGAUGCUCAUUCUCCCCAUGCAAAGCCCAGAUGCUGAAGUAACUGUCCUUUCUCUCCUACAAGGAGCGGCCAGUUAAAAUCCCACCCUGUGGGCAGUAAGGUUCAGGCCACCCCGGUUCUGCUCCAGUUAUCAGCGCCGGGGAAAGCACGCCCCGCAUAAUGCCAGUGCUCCACAGCAGCGUUGUUCAUGCCCAAGCAGGAAAGAGUCAGUCAGAUGCUUGCCCAGGAGGCGCUGGUUAAGGCAGGGGGAGGGGAGGAGAAGAGGGUGCCCCAGGGGCGGGUUGGAGCCCCGAGGGAUGAGAAUCUCCUGUUCUGUUAUCUUCAGGAGCUGGUUAAGGUCUGCUCCAAUGUGCUGAACCAUCUCUUCGCCAUCCCCGCCCAACUUCCUUCCCACCCACAUAUCCAUGCAGGAAAGAUGCAUGGCAAGCACUCAGAGAAUGCCAGGACACGGGCUGGUGGGCACGACCCAGGUGAGGCAGUGAGAAGGUCCCAGGUAGACAAGAAAGAGUCUGGGAAAACAGGAUUCCCCAGUGCACACAAGGAGAAAUGGGGCAGUAAAAGGGUCAGGCAAAUCCCUACCCCGAUACCAGUGGGGGUCAGGGGAGCCCUCCAAUGUUUGGCUUUUGAGACCCCUGCACCAAGCCUCUCUUUAAGCGCCAGAGCUAUUGCUUUCAUGGAUCUUGUUUAACUUGAGAAGGACGGGGGAGGGGGCCAAAUAAAACUGCAUUCUUCCCCAUCAAAGCCAAGAGUCUAAAGUAAUACUUCUGGUUGUAACUGAUCCUGGCCUGUUUGUGAUUACGGGCCCUUUGCUUGCUUUCUGGCAGGGCGGCCCUGGAACCCCGCAGCCCAGCCGACAGGGAGAGAGACACCCUCGUUCACUUGGAUAAUCUUGUCCUCAUCUGACAUAACCAAAAACGUCCAUCAGCCUCUCUGCUUUCAGCAGUUCUCCAGGGCAACUCCUCAAAACAUUACUUUAUUUUAAAAAGGAGGGGAAGCCACCCCAAACUCCUAUCAUGAAAUUCCAUGACAUUCAUCAUAUUCUUUCUGUUCCCGGCACUGUCCUAAAAACCACGAAAAGCACCAGCUGGCCCACUGGCUAUUGCACAUUACAAGAUCAGAUCAUCUUUUGCUUCUGCCCUACCUCCUACCCUUAUGUUAGGGGAGAAAACACAGAUCCCCCUCGCACGCACAUGCACACCCUUUCGCUGCCAUAGUACAGAAGUGGCUCAGGGAAGCUCGAGACUAUUUCUCAGCUGUUCCUUCUCCAGAAAUUUAAUCUGUGAUAUAUUUGGCUUCACAAAGCCCAUUCCAAAGGUGUUCAGGAGUCCACGAUCCCUGUGAUCAUCAUUGCAAACCCAAGGAUGUUUGUAGCCAGUGACCCAUUUGGCUGCGGGGGAGAGCUGGCUGAAGGCUUGCCAACAUGGUCAAAUUCCCCUUGCCUGCUCCCUCUGAGCUGAAACUGGCUUGUUUUCAGGUCCCUGGGGGUAAGAGGGAAUCUUAGGAGCUCCAGAACAACAGAGAUAAAGUUGGCUUCUUGCCCAGCUUGGUAACAGCACAAUGGUCAGGGGAAUGGGGUGGCUUGGUGUCUGGAAAGCAACCAUGGCCGCUGUCUCCACUCCUAAUCACCCUUCCAUGCUGUGGAUGAGCAAAGCUGUGCUCAGAGAGGUGGAGUGGCUUGCCUGAGGUCACUUCGUUGUUUGGUAGCUGAGCUUAGAGUCUGGGUUGACCAAGCUCCUCUUAGGCAAAGCCUGGCCUUCCUCCCACGAUGGUACGCCACUGCUCUGCCCAUUAACAUGACACUCUGAGCACCAUGCCAAGUGGCUAUUCCUUGACCCAAUGCCUCGAGCAAGAAGUGAGUGUCUAGAACUGGCAGAAAGCCCCACCAGCGCACAGAAAGGUCAUUUGGCCAAACCAAGCAUGGGAGACUCAAGUAGCCAAUGCUUCAGGUGCUGGCUUGCGGUCUCAAGUGCAAGACCCCAAGCCCUGUAUCCUCGCCACACCUGCACGCUACCCCUGAUCACAGCAGCUCAAGAUCCUGCUGUAAUCAAAAGAUGGUGAGCACGCUGAGCAGAGAGAAGGCUGGGGCCUGUGAGAAUGCCACUUUAAAGUACAGAAAACAAAAGAGAAAGACAUCAUGUCCAGAAACACCAGAGCUGGAUGCCUGGCCAACCUCAACAGCGACCUCACCCCCUUCCUGGGGGAAGGGAGGAACACAAGGGGCUGAGGAGGCAGAGCCUCUGGACCUGACAGGGGACUCACAGCCAGCUGUAGGGCAGCCCCACCUUCCCUGGAGCGCACCAUGCUUCCCUCCCAGCCUGACGCCAGCCCCCAGAAGCUUUGCUAGAUGGGGAAGUCUGCAUUCUCCAGUUGGGGCAUGUGAAGCUGAUCUUGCGGGGAGAGGAGAGGGGAGUUAGAAAAACAAGGCUCUUUAAAUGCACAGGGGCGGUGCCUUUGCCUGGCUCCAGGCUCUAGCCCUAGUAACAGGCCGAAGGGACCAGGCCAGGUGAGCAGCAGCUCAGCAGUGGCAGCAGCUGGAGAGCCCUGCUUCCCCUCCUCCCAUCACCUGGCACCUGCCACAUCACUCCAGGCCUCCUGGGACCUCAGAGACAGCCACCACUGCACCAGCAGCCCGCAGAUGUGCCACAGCCCUGCCUCAAACUCACUACGAUGCUGGGCACGUGGCUUCACUCUUCCAGGCCUCCACUCUCCCUCAGCCCCUCAGCACAGUGGGGAAGAACAGAGGAAAAGCUUUCUUUGUCUAUAUUUAAGGCCCUUCAAAGCCCUUGACCAGCUCCUCCAGCUUCUCUCAGGCAGCCCCCAGGCACUGUGGCUGGAUCACACCUGUCCACGUCACCCUCCACACCCCUGCAUGAAUCAUUCAGGUUUACUCUGCUUGAAGCACCUUCCUCCUUCAGCUUUGCCGUCCACCUGAGGCCUGCCCCUUGUUCAAGGCCUACCUUCUCCAGAAGUCUUCCCCCACCCACCCAAUCCAGGCCCUGUCCCUGUCUCUGAGCAAGCUUGACAAUAUUCAUGAAAGCUCACAGUACCCAGAGCAGACUAUGCCAUUCUUCUGAGUCCUGUCUCCAGUCUUCAGCCACACCUUGCUUUCUGCCUUGCACACUGUAGGUGCAGAGUGAAAAUGACUGACUCACUACAUCUGGGCUUUUUACCUUGCAGGUAAAGAGACAGCCCUAGGAUGCUGUUACCUUCAGCAAUGGGAAGACAGGGACAGCUGCCUCUUGUCCACGUGCAUCCUAGUGCUGGGCAUGCCACAGGGCACACAAUUCCCUCUGACCUGCUGCCCCUGGCCUUUCUCCUGCCCCAGUGGGGCUUUUAGCACAACUGACCGCUGCUUUCCUGCUGUCUGUGGCCGGGGAACUCAUGUGGUGAAGCAUUCUGCAGUUUGGCUUUGCAAAGAAGUGAAAUCUACAAUGCAAGCAUCCAGAUCUCCAAACCCCAGUCAGAUGGCAAUGACUGAAGCUCAUGCCCCACCUCCCAGCUGUGCAACCUUGGGGCAAGUCACUUCACCCCUCUGGGCUUCAACUUCCUCCUUGGAAAGACAGAAUGCCAACAUCCAUCCUGCCUCUUGCCAAGAUGUUUUAUAGACUGCAUGGUUUUAUAUCUUGUAAAACAUAAAAAUACUGUGAUUCAGAAAGAGAUCACCUUUUAAAAAGUCCAAAAUUCCCCCCUCUUAGCUAGCACAAGCAGGCAUCUCUCCAGGUGGCCGUGACCUCCUCAGUAACCCUCCUGGCAGGAGUGUGGGAGAACAGAACAUGCAGGCUUCUGGCCACUGUCCUUAGAGCUUUCCAGGACGUGGGGAUCCCAGGGCAGCCUGUGGCACUGCCAACGGGCCCUGUCACGAGAGGAGAGAGGGAUCUGCUAUCACACACCAGUCUCAAAACCCACCCACAGUUCACUCGCUUUACGGACAGUCCUUGGCAGACUUACUCUGAGUUUGGCCUUUGCUCAUUUCCCAUGGUGCUCCUGGGCCACUUCCCCACAAUCUGAUCCAAUAAAAACUCAGGGGAGGCAAAUGAACUUUAGCCUGAGCCUGAGAGAUGCCCAGCUAAAAAGGGGAGUGUGGAGCUGGGGCUGAGACAGUUGGAUGAAACAAAACCAAUGAUAAUCAUACACAGCAUACUUCAGAGGGAAAUGAACUCAGGGCUCCUAUGAGCCAGAAGUUUCCCUCGGUUUCCUGGGAUUCCACAGCUCAGCUCCCAGGACGGGGAGCCCUGCUGAGCCCUGGCUCCCCCAGACUUUGCAGGCCAUCUGGGUAAACUGGGUCACCCCAGCUACGCCCCCACAGUGAGGCCAGGAUUCUAGGUCAGCACUGGAAACCCAGAGGAUGAGGUUAUGGAAUCUGAAAAGAUGCUGAGAGGGACGAGGGCAGCCGUCCCCCACUCCCACCAGAACAAUUACAGAAAACCCAACUGCUGAAGGGUGUAAUAUCACACGGCCACAGGAUAAGCUGGGGAGAGAAUGAGGAAGGGGCAUUUUCCCAACCCAAAUUCCCCAAGGUCUUGAAAAAUUAUACUCCCCAGAAAGUGUUUGCUUUACACUUUGCCGAAAUCUGUUAUGUAACAGUGGAGAAAAUGUGUGGGGUGAUCUUUUUCCCUGCACUUCAGCUGGGGAGGAGGGUGAGAGACCUGUCAUUUCUACUGGGGACAAAGGCAGUGUCUGUGUGUUGGGGGCAGGCAGAGGGUCUCCAGGGCUGCCCACUCACAGGGUACCUGCGCAAAGGUACACCUGAGUCAGAGGAGGCAAGGCACCUCUGUCAGCUCCGCUGCAGGGCUCCAAGUAGGCACGCAGUGACAGCUAUACCUAGAAUAACACUCCUUGGCCUGGCACCCGUCUCUGCCCUUGCUCACUCCUGCCCUCCCAGAACCAGUGAGCCUUCUGCUGUUUCCUGCAUUCACCAAGGCCCACCUGUCCCCAGCUUUAACAACACCUCAAUGGCGUCUUUCCUGACCACACCCCCACCGCCUCCCUGCUGCUGACCUCUCCACAGCGCCUGCUUGUUUCCUGACUUGUGCUUGUCAACACCUACAAUUACUUCCUUGGUUUACUUGUUACAUGUCUCUUCGCAGUAUUUGAGCCCCAUGAGGGCUUUGUUGGCCUCUGUCACUUCUGGAUCCCAGUCUAACACUUAGUCAGCUCAUACAGAUUUACUGAUGGCCGACCAACCAGCCAUUGGAAGACUGGCUUCAGAGGCCCCUCGGUGUUCAAACUUGGAAAAACAACAUUUUGGAGAUGCUCACGGGCUCAGUCAGUAGAAACCUGUUUGUCUCCCAAAGGGAAGGCGGCCAGGUGUUGCCCUGAGGCUACAACUGGGGUGAGCAGUGGUUGUCACUCUGGCACUUCUGUGGGACUUCCAGGGCUGCAUGCCACACCAAGGCCACCACUGACCCAUAUAUAUUGCUGAGAAAUAACUAUUCAAGGAAAAUGGGCUUGGAGGAGUUUGAGACACGAGAGGUCCAGAGAGCCAGUAGGUCCACAGAGUCAGGCCACAGCAACUGGACACUAGGCCUGUCCAACCUGGGCAGGGUGACAGUGUGGUGGAGGGAGCACCCCCAGGCUCACUGCCCCACCUGCCUGCCUGGCAGCUGGCUCCACGCAGGUGGCUGGCAGCACUCGGCGUUGACAAGCCCUUGGAUGCCUCCCUGACAACAGGCCCUGCAGAUCCAGCUGGAGGAAAGCACUAUUUGCAGAGCCGCCCAGCCCCUGCCACACCUGUGCCUGCCACCCUCCUCCCCACACAGCCUGGAGGGCUUGCCUCAAGGCUCACUCUUCUCAGGGAGCUCUCCUGCUCACCAGCUUCCCAAGGCCCUAUCCUCCCACCUCCUGCUGCCCAGCUCCCACUUUUCUUCUGCUUGGGGCACCCAGAUGCCUGCUGUGCAGUCGCAGCCCCACCACGUCCCAUACUCUUCACUCUGCCUGUCUAAUCCCUUCAUUCUCCCAGCCCUGCUCAAUGCCUCUGACUCCUCCAGGAAGCCUUCUCGACUAUGCUUGUCUUCACCCCCCACACUUCAGCUCUGCACCAUGCAACAGGGCUACUGAGGGACCAUCAGUGUGGGGUUGUCACGAAAGCCCCUGAUCCCAUGAGGCCACCAAUGGGACCCUGACUUCUGUCGCCAACCCUUCUUCCUGCUGGACUCUGUUGAUUAGGCUGGGACAAGGAUAGCUGCCCAAGCAAGAACUCCAGGGGAGUGAGUCUGGCCCCAGAACGGGUUGUCCUGGUCUCACUACCUGACAGUAAACCCUCUGCCACUAUAGCCACCUCACAGACCCUCAGGACUGACAGUCCUCAGAUACCACCAAGUCAGUUCUAUGACCAGACGGGGAAAUCGAGGCCACAAGAGAGAAACUGGCCCCCUGCAGGCCCCAGGGUUGAUCUGUGGCAGAGCGGCCCCAAUCAGUGGUCUUACUAUUGGCUGUCACUUAUUGAGCACCCACUGUGUGCCAGGCCCUGCAUGAAGCACUAAAUUCUUUUUGUGUUUAUUAUUAUUAUUUUUUAUUUUUUGUAGAGACAGGGCCUUGCUAUGUUGCCCAGGCUGGGCUUGAACUCCUGGCCUCAAGUUACCCUCCCACCUCAACAUCCCAAAGUUUUGGGAUUACACGCAUGAGCCACCAUUCCUGGCCCUGAAUUCCUUUUGAAUUAGCAUACACCAACCCCAUAGCUGUGGGUACAAUUAUCCCCAUUUUACAGGUAAGGAAACUGAUGCUGAGAGGACCCAAGAAACUUUCCCAGGAUCACCACAGGAAGUAACCAAAUCAAGAUGAAAAGCAGGCUUCUCUAACACGAAGUCCAUAUUCCUAACUGCUAGGCUAUCCUGCAAUCUCAUUCUCAACAUAAUCUUGAUCCUGGAGUGAAUAAAGCUGAGCGGAAGGGCCCGAGGCUGGGCUAGCAUGCCUGCCUCUGCUCCUGGCUUUAUCCUCCUCGGCCCUUUCCCCUCCAGCCAGCUCUGUGAAGUGGGUAACAGCUGUACACUAGAGAUCGUCUUGGGCCAAAAGGGACUCUGCUGAUGAGACUGAUAUAGCAAGAACACACACACAGGCUGCACUCCAAGAGAAGGGCUGUCGGUGCACAAGGCUUUCUGAUGGCUAGGACAGGACCUCGUGGGCCAGGCACCACCUCUGUGGCACCACAUCUAAAUGGAGACUGGUUCAUUGGAGCCAGCAUUCUACUGUUGUAGAAAUAAGCAUGUUAGUUCAGUAAUAAACCUGCCCUUCUAGAAACA